GCAACUCGCCUACAUGAAGUCGGAAUCGCUAGUAAUCGCGGAUCAGCAUGCCGCGGUGAAUACGUUCCCGGGCCUUGUACACACCGCCCGUCACACCAUGAGAGUUUGUAACACCCAAAGCCGGUGGGGUAACCUUUUGGAGCCAGCCGUCUAAGGUGGACAGAUGAUUGGGGUGAAGUCGUAACAAGGUAAC
rnacentral:rRNA from 1 species